GGCACAGGAUGAAAGGUGCCCAAGUCUGGGGCCCAGGAAGUGAUGAGGCCCCUCCUUCCUGGGAGCCUUCCCCGGAUUUCCCAUCCUGACCCUGAAGCUGAGAUUCGGGGAUGAGCCUGCGCACCCUCGGGGACGGGAGUCACACCUGGUGGUCCUUACAGCCCCUCCCUGAUGCAGCGCCGGCUCCACAGCCCAUGCAGGGGCGAGCUCUCAGCACCAGCAAAGUGCCUGGCCCUGGCGUCUCCUCUGUGCUCAUCCUCACCUCCUCCCCAGGCUGCUCAGCCCCACUGUAGCACACCUGAUUCUGCUCAGUAAUUAGACGUGGGGGCUCUGAGUUCCUGGAGAGCAGGGGCUAUCUCUAACUCACUGUGGUGUGGGGGCAAACCUAGAGCCCUGCUUGCCAGGUGCAUAUCAGUUUGCAUUUCUUGGCCUGGUGCAAUUACUGAAAAUGCCCCCAUUCCCUUGCAAAACUGCCCUGGUUUGCAUGAGAAAUUAUACAGUCACUCCAGCUAGGUGCCACUCAUGCCCAGCCUGUCGGACAGGCAGUGGGCUGCAGUGGCCGGCUCUGCCUGUCCCGGAGUCAGGCAUGGCUGGAUCCCAGGCGCGACCCCACCAGUCACAAGCCUUCCUCGGAGGCCUCAGCGACCUCAUGAGUGCCAUGAGGAGGCAGAGGACUCUGUCUUGCAGAACUGUCACGAGGACGAGGACGUGGCAAUACUGAUAAAAGUCAACGAGGAAGAAAGCGAGGAAGAGAUCUAAGCUUCCUGCUAGUGCGCCUGGGAAGACAGCAGAGGAUGGCCCAAGUACUUGAGUUCCUGCACCACGGUGGAAACCUAGAUGGAGUUCCUGGCUCCUAGCCUCAGCCUGGCCCAGACCUGACUGUUGUGGACAUUUGGGUCCAGUUCUUCCAGAGCAAGAGCUGUAUCUGCCUGGCGAAGCCCAUGGUGCCGACGACACAGAGACCGGGAGACGGCCCAGAGCCGAGGCGCCCGGACGGCAGUGGACAUGAACGCUGCG